rnacentral:rRNA from 1 species
GACCAUCCUCCAAGGCUAAAUACUCCUGACUGACCGAUAGUGAACCAGUACCGUGAGGGAAAGGCGAAAAGAACCCCGGCGAGGGGAGUGAAAAAGAACCUGAAACCGUGUACGUACAAGCAGUGGGAGCCUCUUAAUGGGGUGACUGCGUACCUUUUGUAUAAUGGGUCAGCGACUUAUAUUCUGUAGCAAGGUUAACCGAAUAGGGGAGCCGAAGGGAAACCGAGUCUUAACUGGGCGUUAAGUUGCAGGGUAUAGACCCGAAACCCGGUGAUCUAGCCAUGGGCAGGUUGAAGGUUGGGUAACACUAACUGGAGGACCGAACCGACUAAUGUUGAAAAAUUAGCGGAUGACUUGUGGCUGGGGGUGAAAGGCCAAUCAAACCGGGAGAUAGCUGGUUCUCCCCGAAAGCUAUUUAGGUAGCGCCUCGUGAAUUCAUCUCCGGGGGUAGAGCACUGUUUCGGCAAGGGGGUCAUCCCGACUUACCAACCCGAUGCAAACUGCGAAUACCGGAGAAUGUUAUCACGGGAGACACACGGCGGGUGCUAACGUCCGUCGUGAAGAGGGAAACAACCCAGACCGCCAGCUAAGGUCCCAAAGUCAUGGUUAAGUGGGAAACGAUGUGGGAAGGCCCAGACAGCCAGGAUGUUGGCUUAGAAGCAGCCAUCAUUUAAAGAAAGCGUAAUAGCUCACUGGUCGAGUCGGCCUGCGCGGAAGAUGUAACGGGGCUAAACCAUGCACCGAAGCUGCGGCAGCGACGCUUAUGCGUUGUUGGGUAGGGGAGCGUUCUGUAAGCCUGUGAAGGUGUGCUGUGAGGCAUGCUGGAGGUAUCAGAAGUGCGAAUGCUGACAUAAGUAACGAUAAAGCGGGUGAAAAGCCCGCUCGCCGGAAGACCAAGGGUUCCUGUCCAACGUUAAUCGGGGCAGGGUGAGUCGACCCCUAAGGCGAGGCCGAAAGGCGUAGUCGAUGGGAAACAGGUUAAUAUUCCUGUACUUGGUGUUACUGCGAAGGGGGGACGGAGAAGGCUAUGUUGGCCGGGCGACGGUUGUCCCGGUUUAAGCGUGUAGGCUGGUUUUCCAGGCAAAUCCGGAAAACCAAGGCUGAGGCGUGAUGACGAGGCACUACGGUGCUGAAGCGACAAAUGCCCUGCUUCCAGGAAAAGCCUCUAAGCAUCAGGUAACAUCAAAUCGUACCCCAAACCGACACAGGUGGUCAGGUAGAGAAUACCAAGGCGCUUGAGAGAACUCGGGUGAAGGAACUAGGCAAAAUGGUGCCGUAACUUCGGGAGAAGGCACGCUGAUAUGUAGGUGAAGCGACUUGCUCGUGGAGCUGAAAUCAGUCGAAGAUACCAGCUGGCUGCAACUGUUUAUUAAAAACACAGCACUGUGCAAACACGAAAGUGGACGUAUACGGUGUGACGCCUGCCCGGUGCCGGAAGGUUAAUUGAUGGGGUUAGCGGUAACGCGAAGCUCUUGAUCGAAGCCCCGGUAAACGGCGGCCGUAACUAUAACGGUCCUAAGGUAGCGAAAUUCCUUGUCGGGUAAGUUCCGACCUGCACGAAUGGCGUAAUGAUGGCCAGGCUGUCUCCACCCGAGACUCAGUGAAAUUGAACUCGCUGUGAAGAUGCAGUGUACCCGCGGCAAGACGGAAAGACCCCGUGAACCUUUACUAUAGCUUGACACUGAACAUUGAGCCUUGAUGUGUAGGAUAGGUGGGAGGCUUUGAAGUGUGGACGCCAGUCUGCAUGGAGCCGACCUUGAAAUACCACCCUUUAAUGU